GAUGGAGAGAGGCAGAAGAAUAGAGUUCCAGACAGUUGUAGAAUGUAUGCCAAGACACAUUGUAAGAGCUAUAAAGAGAGAGGGAGUGGGAGAGAGAACAGGCAGAACCUGAUAUGUAAAUGAGCAGAGCAAACGAAAGUAACAUUUGAUGACCUGAUGAUCAUUCCAGACUCUGUUUCUAUUGAGAGAUAAAAGGCUGGUUGAAUGAGUUGCCUAUGAAAGCUACUUCAACUGCAAGAAAACAGCUGCACCAGUGACUGUAAGGGGUCAGUGCUCUAAAAUGAGUCUCUCUGAGGAU